rnacentral:rRNA from 1 species
UGGGGAAUAUUGCACAAUGGGCGCAAGCCUGAUGCAGCCAUGCCGCGUGUGUGAAGAAGGCCUUCGGGUUGUAAAGCACUUUCAGCGGGGAGGAAGGCGAUAAGGUUAAUAACCUUGUCGAUUGACGUUACCCGCAGAAGAAGCACCGGCUAACUCCGUGCCAGCAGCCGCGGUAAUACGGAGGGUGCAAGCGCUAAUCGGAAUUACUGGGCGUAAAGCGCACGCAGGCGGUCUGUCAAGUCGGAUGUGAAAUCCCCGGGCUCAACCUGGGAACUGCAUUCGAAACUGGCAGGCUAGAGUCUUGUAGAGGGGGGUAGAAUUCCAGGUGUAGCGGUGAAAUGCGUAGAGAUCUGGAGGAAUACCGGUGGCGAAGGCGGCCCCCUGGACAAAGACUGACGCUCAGGUGCGAAAGCGUGGGGAGCAAACAGG